rnacentral:rRNA from 1 species
UGGGGAAUAUUGCACAAUGGGCGAAAGCCUGAUGCAGCGACGCCGCGUGAGGGAUGACGGCCUUCGGGUUGUAAACCUCUUUCAGCAGGGACGAAGCGCAAGUGACGGUACCUGCAGAAGAAGCACCGGCUAACUACGUGCCAGCAGCCGCGGUAAUACGUAGGGUGCAAGCGUUGUCCGGAAUUACUGGGCGUAAAGAGUUCGUAGGCGGUUUGUCGCGUCGUUUGUGAAAACCAGCAGCUCAACUGCUGGCUUGCAGGCGAUACGGGCAGACUUGAGUACUGCAGGGGAGACUGGAAUUCCUGGUGGAGCGGUGAAAUGCGCAGAUAUCAGGAGGAACACCGGUGGCGAAGGCGGGUCUCUGGGCAGUAACUGACGCUGAGGAACGAAAGCGUGGGUAGCGAACAGG